AGAGUUUGAUCAUGGCUCAGGACGAACGCUGGCGGCGUGCUUAACACAUGCAAGUCGAGCGGAAAGGCCCUUCGGGGUACUCGAGCGGCGAACGGGUGAGUAACACGUGAGUAACCUGCCCUGGACUUUGGGAUAACCCUCGGAAACGGGGGCUAAUACCGGAUACGACAAUUCACCGCAUGGUGUGGUUGUGGAAAGUUUUUCGGUCUGGGAUGGGCUCGCGGCCUAUCAGCUUGUUGGUGGGGUGAUGGCCUACCAAGGCGACGACGGGUAGCCGGCCUGAGAGGGCGACCGGCCACACUGGGACUGAGACACGGCCCAGACUCCUACGGGAGGCAGCAGUGGGGAAUAUUGCACAAUGGGCGGAAGCCUGAUGCAGCGACGCCGCGUGAGGGAUGACGGCCUUCGGGUUGUAAACCUCUUUCAGCAGGGACGAAGCGCAAGUGACGGUACCUGCAGAAGAAGCGCCGGCCAACUACGUGCCAGCAGCCGCGGUAAGACGUAGGGCGCGAGCGUUGUCCGGAUUUAUUGGGCGUAAAGAGCUCGUAGGCGGCUUGUCGCGUCGACUGUGAAAACCCGCGGCUCAACCGCGGGCCUGCAGCCGAUACGGGCAGGCUAGAGUUCGGUAGGGGAGACUGGAAUUCCUGGUGUAGCGGUGAAAUGCGCAGAUAUCAGGAGGAACACCGGUGGCGAAGGCGGGUCUCUGGGCCGUAACUGACGCUGAGGAGCGAAAGCGUGGGGAGCGAACAGGAUUAGAUACCCUAGUAGUCC
rnacentral:rRNA from 1 species